rnacentral:rRNA from 1 species
UACGGGGGGAGCAAGCGUUGUUCGGAUUUACUGGGCGUAAAGGGCGCGUAGGCGGUCAGCACAAGUCAGUUGUGAAAUCUCCGGGCUUAACUCGGAAAGGUCAACUGAUACUGUGCGACUAGAGUGCGGAAGGGGCAACUGGAAUUCUCGGUGUAGCGGUGAAAUGCGCAGAUAUCAGGAGGAACACCAGUGGCGAAGGCGGUGCUCUGGGCCGGAACUGACGCUGAGGAGCGAAAGCGUGGGGAGCAAACAGG